UUGGUGAUGGUGCUGCUUCCGGUUUUGUGCGUCUUCAAAAAGACAACGUUCUUUUUUGGAGUACAUCUGCAGUGGAAAAUAAAGCAAUGAUUGAGAUAACAUGUGAUGGAAGCCACAUCGCAUGUCGAAGCAUCGGUCUGUAGUCACUCAUGGGCCACUUGAGCCAAGAGCCUCUUCAUCCGAGACUGUAAUGAAAUGACAGCGCGCAUUGUUCAGUCAUUUCCCGAAAGAAACUGUACAAAACAGAUACCUUCAUAAAGACAUUGCGCACUAUACAAGGAUUAUCAGACAGACAGUGCGCAAUGUGCAGACAUUACCCAACAGUUAUGAACAAUGUACAGAAAUUACCCAACAGUUAUGUACAAUGUACAGAAAUUACCCAACAGACAGUGCGAGCAAUACAGACAUUACUCAACAGACAGGGCGCACAUUACAGACAUUACCCGACAGACAGUGCGCGCUGUACAGACAUUACCCAACAGUUCUGUAUAAUGUACAGAAAUUACCCAACAAACAGUGCGCACUGUACAGACAUUACCCGACAGACAGUUGAUUGAUUUAGCUUGAUUUAUAUUGCAAAACCGAAAGCUAGACCUCAAUGCACCUAAGCUGACAGAUGCGAACAAGCAGAUUGGCAUAUUUGGUUAUCACGCCAGGGGUUUUCAUAGUGUUUUUUAUUGCAAUUAAUAAUCACCUUCAAAAUCAUCCAUAAAUUACACGCAAACUAACCCUUAUAGAAAAGCCAAAUAAAUCAGAUCAGAAAGACGUAUUGUUCAAACAGAACAGGAAGACGUAUUGUUCAAUGCAGCACACAGGUUGAUGACAACAAAGUGAUAAAAACAAGCAAAAGUCAGCGUGCGUCCACAAUGGGGUUAAAAAGGAGAACGGCGCGAGCUGGGUAAAACACAAUGACUCCAAAUGUUACCAUUGCGCAUGUGAUAGAGAUGUAGCACGCUGUGAUCUCGUCAAUUGUUACUGUCCCGAAGGAGAAGAACCUAGUCCUGAUGGACCACCCCCCGACAAAUGCUGUCCAGCUUGCGUUGUGAAGACUACUACGUCUACGCCUGUGUAUAUCAAGAUUUCCACUAGACGUCCAGCCCCAACAUGGCCCCCGUUCUGGGGCAGAAAAUGAUGCAUAGAAUGAAUGUGCGAAGGUGUAGCAUUAGAAAUGCUUCCCGCCCUCUCUCACUAGAUGUACCAAAGGCUUGCAUCAGAUGUAACUCGACUAAGGCGGCGCCAAUGGGUUAGAAAAACCAAGUCAUGUAAAAAAUAUUAGUCACAAUAAACUUCGUUCAACAUCUAA